CCUGCAUAAAGCAACAUCCAUCACCUCACAGGACAAAACUUGGUUCCAUAUAAGAAUUAAGACAGCCAACUUGGGAGAAAGACUUGCCUGUAGAAAGAGUUAUCCAUCAGCUCAACAGGACUGAACCUGGGUCUACCACAAGAUGGGAUUUGUCACCUCCUUCACCUGUUGUCUUCUUGGAGUCCUGGUCUCCAGUUCUUUUCCAGGAGCCAAGGCCCUGUCCUGUCCUGAUGGUUGGCUGCAAAACGAGGGCAACUGCUAUGGAUAUUUUGAUACUAAGUUGUCAUGGAAG